GGAACCGAUAGAAAUCCUUGACAGGGAGGUAAAACAACUUAAGCAGUGUAAGAUUCCAAUUGUGAAAGUUCGAUGGAACUCAAAACGUGGGCCAGAGUACACCUGGGAGCGUGAGGACUUCAUGAAGGAAAAGUAUCCACAACUUUUCCCAUGCGAUGACAAGCGAUGACAUAGAAUGAAUUUCGGGACGAAAUUCUUUUUAAGUGGGGGAUACUUUGACAACUGUCAAUUCAGGUCAUUCACUGACUCAUGCAUCUAUAUAAAAACCAUUCAUGCACAACAUGCCAUGGCCUAGUAGUGUAUAUUAGGUUAAAAUCUUGCAUAAACUAGGAUCCAACUAAGAUCACUUUUUAAGUGGGGGAUACUUUGACAACUGUCAAUUCAGGUCAUUCACUGACUCAUGCAUCUAUAUAAAAACC
rnacentral:lncRNA from 1 species